AGUGAACGCUGGCGGUAGGCCUAACACAUGCAAGUCGAACGGCAGCACAGUAAGCGCUUGCUCCUACGGGUGGCGAGUGGCGGACGGGUGAGGAAUACAUCGGCAUCUACUUUUUCGUGGGGGAUAACGUAGGGAAACUUACGCUAAUACCGCAUACGACCUACGGGUGAAAGCAGGGGAUCUUCGGACCUUGCGCGAUUGAAUGAGCCGAUGUCGGAUUAGCUAGUUGGCGGGGUAAAGGCCCACCAAGGCGACGCUCCGUAGCUGGUCUGAGAGGAUGAUCAGCCACACUGGAACUGAGACACGGUCCAGACUCCUACGGGAGGCAGCAGUGGGGAAUAUUGGACAAUGGGCGCAAGCCUGAUCCAGCCAUACCGCGUGGGUGAAGAAGGCCUUCGGGUUGUAAAGCCCUUUUGUUGGGAAAGAAAAGCAGCAGGUUAAUACCCCGCUGUUCUGACGGUACCCAAAGAAUAAGCACCGGCUAACUUCGUG
rnacentral:rRNA from 1 species